CUUCUUUCAAUUCUUAUUUAAAUAAUAAGGAAAAAUUGUGAAAAAAGCUUAUGUCUAGACAUACGUGACAGCAUCUAAAAAAGACCACAAACUUAUAUAGGUUAUAAAGAUGAUAAAACUUUCAACAUUGUGAAACCUAUGACCAUAAGCAUAUACGUUUACACCAUUCAGUAUACUUCUCAUUUUUUACAACAAAACAAAAUUGAAAAACAAACCCAGAAGGCACUUUGAAUUUGAUCUAAGUUCAAGAGGUUGAAGAAGUUUGUGCUUCAGUUUUGCUAUCUAAACCCAUAGAGUUAUCAGCUGAUGGUGGCACGUAAAUUUGCGCUUUCUUCAGAAUUUCAGCAACAACCCA
rnacentral:misc_RNA from 1 species